GGCAGGAGUCAUGGAACCCCAGGAAAGGACGGAACAGAACAGGACAGGGCCCCCAGCCCCAUCUUUAUCUCACCGGCUGCUGCUGGCUGCCAAGCCUCCCCUGAAUGGGGGAGGGUGGUCUGUGUGAGUCAGCGGAGGCACGAAGUGGAGGAAGACGGGAGCCUCUGCCAGGCCCGUUGAGCGUGGCCUCAGAAAUGCGCCGCUGGGUUAGGGUCUCCCCGACCGAGGCUCGAAUCCAGGUCGAAGGGUCGCCGGAGCGAUGGUUGGAGAAUGUGGAAGGAGCUGGAGGACACCCGAGUAUUCUUAAAGCAAUCCCCAUGAAGUUAUGCUUGUGUUUCUCCAGGCCAAAAUCAACAGCUGAUCUGGAUACCAUCAAGACACCUGAAAUCUUAUCAUGAGCCAGAUGCUGAGGAAGAGACUCCGGGAGGAUCCCGAGGACGGCCCAGUUGCAGCCAUGUUGAGACUGACGCUGAGGAGGACCCCAACUGUCACGAGCAACACCUGUCGAACACAGCCACCCACCUGGGGACAGAUCAAGAAGCUGUCAC
rnacentral:lncRNA from 1 species